GAUGAACGCUAGCGGCAGGCUUAAUACAUGCAAGUCGAGGGGCAGCACGGUUAGCAAUAACUGGUGGCGACCGGCGCACGGGUGCGUAACACGUAUACAAUCUACCUUAAACAGGGGGAUAGCCUUUCGAAAGAGAGAUUAAUACCCCGUAAUAAAUUGAACGGCAUCGUUUGAUUUUGAAAGCUCCGGCGGUUUGAGAUGAGUAUGCGUCUGAUUAGCUAGUUGGUGAGGUAACGGCUCACCAAGGCGACGAUCAGUAGGGGAUCUGAGAGGACUAACCCCCCACACUGGUACUGAGACACGGACCAGACUCCUACGGGAGGCAGCAGUAAGGAAUAUUGGUCAAUGGAGGCAACUCUGAACCAGCCAUGCCGCGUGCAGGAUGACGGCCCUAUGGGUUGUAAACUGCUUUUAUACAAGAGAAAACCCUGGUAACGUGUACCAGGUUGAUAGUAUUGUAAGAAUAAGCAUCGGCUAACUUACGUGUCCAGCAGCCGCGGUAAU
rnacentral:rRNA from 1 species